rnacentral:rRNA from 1 species
GAUCCUGGCUCAGAUUGAACGCUGGCGGCAGGCCUAACACAUGCAAGUCGAGCGGAUGAGAGGAGCUUGCUCCUCGAUUCAGCGGCGGACGGGUGAGUAAUGCCUAGGAAUCUGCCUAGUAGUGGGGGACAACGUUUCGAAAGGAACGCUAAUACCGCAUACGUCCUACGGGAGAAAGUGGGGGAUCUUCGGACCUCACGCUAUUAGAUGAGCCUAGGUCGGAUUAGCUAGUUGGUAGGGUAAAGG